ACCCAGAGCCGGAGGCGCCGGGGCGCGGGCGAGCGGGUGGGCCGGGGCAGGGCGGGCAUGGCGCGGACCCCGGGCCCGGCCCCGUUGUGUUCUGGAGGCGGCAAAACACAACUUUCCUCGGCUUCUCCUCCCGCGGCCGGGCUGCUGCUGCUGCUGCCGGCCCCGACGCCGCCGCCGCUGCUCCUGCUGCUCAUCCCCCUGCUGCUCUUCUCCCGGCUCUGUGGUGCCUUAGCUGGAUCAAUUAUCGUGGAGCCACAUGUCACAGCAGUGUGGGGAAAGAAUGUUUCGUUGAAAUGUUUUAAUUGAAGUGAAUGAUGAAACUAUAACACAGAUUUCAUGGGAGAAGAUACAUGGCAAAAGUACACAGACUGUUUGCAGUUCAUCAUCCUCAGUAUGGAUUCUCUGUUCAAGGAGAUUAUCAGGGAAAGAGUCUUGUUUAAAAACUACUCACUUAAUGAUGCAACAAUUACUCUGCAUAACAUAGGCUUCUCAGACUCUGGAAAAUACAUAUGCAAAGCUGUUACGUUCCCACUUGGAAAUGCCCAGUCCUCUACAAACUGUGACUGUGUUAGUUGAACCUACGGUGAGCCUGAUAAAAGGGCCAGACUCUUUAAUUGAUGGAGGAAAUGAAACAGUAGCAGCCAUUUGUAUAGCAGCCACUGGAAAACCAGUUGCACGUAUUGACUGGGAAGGCGAUCUUGGUGAAAUGGAAUCUACUACAACUUCCUUUCCCAAUGAAACAGCUACGAUUGUCAGCCAAUACAAGCUCUUUCCCACGAGAUUUGCUAGAGGAAGGCGAAUUACUUGUGUUGUCAAACAUCCAGCAUUAGAAAAGGAUGUCCGAUACUCUUUUAUUCUAGACAUCCAAUAUGCUCCUGAAGUUUCAGUUACAGGAUAUGAUGGAAAUUGGUUUGUGGGAAGAAUAGGUGUUAACCUCAAAUGUAAUGCUGAUGCAAAUCCUCCACCCUUCAAGUCUGUAUGGAGCAGGUUGGAUGGACAAUGGCCGGAUGGUUUAUUGGCUUCUGACAAUACUCUUCAUUUUGUCCAUCCACUGAAUUUCAAUUAUUUCUGGUUGUUUAUGUCUGUAAAGUGACCAAUUUCCCUUGGUCAAAGAAGUGAUCAAAAGAUCAUCUACAUUUCAGACAUCCCACUUAAGCAGACCUCAUCCAUAGCAGUAGCUGGAGCUGUGAUUGGAGCUGUCCUGGCCCUCUUCAUCAUCGCUGUCUUUGUGGACCGUGUUGCUAAACACCGCGGAAGAAGAGACCUUCCUAUCUUGACAAAGUAAUUGACCUUCCACCUACACAUAAGCCUCCCCCUGUGUAUGAAGAACGAGUUUCUUCUCUGCCUCAGAAAGGCCUUCUGUGUCAGGCUGAACACUUGCCGUUGCAGACUCAGUUCAAAGAGAAGGGAGCUGGUUGUCUUCAGUCCUCUAAUGGACUAAAUAGCAGAUUUGAUUAUGAAGAUGAGAACACAGUACAAGAGGAUGGAACUCAGCAGAUGUACCCCCUUUACAACCAGAUGCGCUGCCAAGACCCGAACCCUCACAAACAUCACUCGAGCAACCCUGAGAGACCCUACAUCCACCCACGAGAACAUUAUGUGUGAUUUUCUUCUUGUUGUAACAGGUGUUCUAACGAAUGCUUAUUCUUAGACUUGAGAGAGAAACUGAGGCAUCUAAACAGUUUCAGUCUGAAUGUGUUGGAACCUUGAAGAAUGGCUCUGAGCUAUGAGUGGAUUUCUUAACUUCAUUAAGGGUUUCUUAGUCACCAGCUGUGUUUGUGAAUUUGCCUGUAGCUUUGCUUCUCUGUAACUCUGGUGUUUAACUACUAACAUUGGCCUACAAUGGCGUGUUCAUUUGAAAUCACGGCAUCUGCCUGUGAUGACUGCAGAGAAAGGGCCCCGCUGCUGGCAGCCAUUCUGCUUGGCUCUCAGGCAGUGCUCGUUUGUAAUUUAAACAGGUGGGAAAAGGAGCUCCAAAUCCAGUUCACUAAUUAUUAAGCUGGGAUUUAGAUAUCCCUAACAUUUCAGUACGAUUACAAUACCUGUGUACAGAGGCCAAGGAAAGAGGUGGACUUGCCUCUCUCCAAACAACAAAAGCAAUGAGAACCUUCAAGCCUCUGGGUGCUUGUGAACCAGUGUUAGUGCUAAGUGUCCUUCCUGGCCAUUAGGCUCCAAGGGCUUCUUCACAGGGCUGUAUGCCCUCUGUCCCCUCAUGACUAGCUGUGUCUGCAACGUCUCCUACUUUGUCCUUGUUACUUCAGCCUGUUUCCCACUUACUGAGUCCUAAAAUCCCUGUCAAAAUGGGAUGGAGUCCUGUUAGCUUUGCCCUUCUUUUUCCGAACGUGUCAAACUCAGCAUUCACUUCUUAAACUGAUUUCAAGCCAGUCUGCCUCCACACAGCUUUAGCUAGAUACUCUUCUGCAUUCUUUACUUUUCUACCCUGUCUUAUCUACCUCAACAAAGAAACCAGCAAGCCUACUGGAAAUCCCCAUAAAAUAACUCUGACUCUUAAAAGCCAGAAGAAAAAUUUGAAAACUAUUUUUUGUAAUGCUACUUCAUUAUGACAUAUUGGCUCAGUUUGCAUGUCCUCUAUUCCUCCUCCCCACCUCACCUGGUCAACAAGCCUAAAGAGAUACUCUAAGUUGAAUAAUACAGUAGCCUCUCUGCCAGGGUAAACAGCUACACCGUGAUGCCGUUAUGCCUGCUCAUGUCUGCCCGGAGUCCUCUCAUCUCCCUCUGCCAACUGUCUAUCACUGAGACUGACAAUGGUCACAGAAGGAAACCUAAAGGCAAAAGAAUCAUGGGCACAUCUUGAGGAUGUCACUUUACUAUGUAUCCUGGAUGGUCAGAGCAUGUCACAGGAAUUAAAAAAAUAAAACACUAUAUACUUGUUACAUAUUAAGAAAGAGUGGUAUCAGCAUCAGAAUAAACAGUAUACAUUUCCAGCCUAAACCACGGAGGAAAUGAGAACAUUCCCAGAUUUAUAGUGAAAUACCAAAGAUACUUUAUUCAUGCCACACUGGCCUUGGUCUCCUUUGCUUCUUUUUGUUGUUUGUCAGGCUUUCAGAUAAGCCAUGAAGGUUCUGCUGUAGUAGUUAUACCCACCCAACCCACUUCCCAUUAUCAGUAGUUCUAGGAGCAAGAAUACUCAAAUUCCAUCCUACUUGUUUGUUUAGGAUUAGUGCCUUUAGCGGUUACAGCUCCAAAGCACCCUGAGUUCUCCUGUUCUUCUCUGCUCCACCACUGUGCUGCUCUGGGUAUAGUUUACUGCCUUUAUAGCAAGGACGAUGGCCAACUUCAUUGCUCAGGAUGCCACCACUAAGUCAGUGUAACUCCAAUUACAGGAUUCCUUGGGGGUUGGUUUCCGGUAGAUAGACGGUAUAGUUUUCUUGGGUAGUGAACAUUUCAUUAGACUUCAAUGUUAGGGGCCAGAUUGCGGAGCACCCCUCCUUUAGAAGGCUUUAAAUAUCUUAACACAGAAGAGAGUUGCUAGAAUCCUGCUGGGAAGCAGGUCAUAGAGUCCACUUCACAAAAGCGCAUUGUGGACCCAGAGGGAGGGAAGGGGGAUGGCAUCGUUUGUGCCAGAGAAAGGGAUCUGGAAGCCUCUUGUCCUCUUCUUUGCAUCCUCCCACGAGGAACCCACUGUCUACCUUUCAACAAAUCUUAGUAUUGUUAUGAAAGGCUAUUUUAGGGUGUGAGUAUUCUCAUGCAGCCAGCUAAUUCACUAUCGUCUGUGCCUUUCUGUCAGCUAUGAAAUUUCUUAGGCAUACUGCUAUGUUUGAUAGUUGUUGGCCCCAGACAUGGGUCACGUAAGCUUCGUAAUAGCUUAUUCUGGUAUCACCUGUCUGCUAUUAAAAAAAAAAGUUAGCCAAAUACAGAACAGCUUUAAAGAGGGUUGAUUAACCAGUCCCCUCAACAACCAAAUAUUGCCACCCAAAAUUAGUCUGCUAAUUUUUGAACUUCUGAAUUUGGAGCCUAGAAGACUUGAUGGUGCCAUUUAAAUUUGGAAGUUAGACUCUAAAGGUUAGUAAGUGAGGUUGAGGGACAUGUUCACAGCUGCUCAUGCUCUGCCCAUAAUUGUUCUGUCAAAGUUCACCAGAACAGGAGGAAAUUUGUGUGGCAUUUCCCAUGUACUGCCACUCUGCAUUCCAAGGAGACGGGUACAUGCUCACCCUCCUCCCAGCCCCCAUUGCCUAUUUUACCUGCCAGCAUUGUGACUGCAGUAGCAGACUCAGAUUUUUUGCAUCUCACUACAGUGAAGCAUGUGUACUGGCUAGGAACAGUCUGACUUAACGAAAUAAGAAUGCAAACAGCAGUGAUUUGUUGUGUCUUCUAUGAGAGUUCUUUUUAGCCUGACAUUUUGUAUGCUUUAUAUUUGAAGACAUAUCUAUGCUCUUUGGAGUAUAUGAAACUCUUAUCCAUGCUAACCAUCUGUAUAACAGAUGAAUAUGUGUGCACCCACACACCCAUGCACACACAGGAGACAAAAGAAAUCCCCAGUAAGUGACCAGACCAGGUUCUCAUCAUUAUUAUUUUCUAAGUCCUAUUUGCUCAGAGAAACAAGAUCAAGUCCUUCUCCCCAAGUUGUCUUUUGUAGAAGUUUAAAUUUCAAAAAGUUUGUCUGUUGCUCCUCUUUUCUUGCAUUCACUGGUGCUAUACUUACUAUAAUAUAUGGCUUGCCUUGGAAUUAGAGGAUCCCCCGUUGUUUUCAGAGUCAAUGGGACAGGUCAAUACCCUGCUUUACCCGUAACUUUAAGAACUAAGGAAAAUAAACUAUGUAGCGUAUCAGCUGUCCCCAUCCAUAACGUGGAGACCUUCCCUGUCAACCUCUCAGAACUGUGGUAAGAAUUGCAUUAGGGAAUGGUGGGGGAGAACUCUAAGUUCUCUCAAACUGAGAACUUCCUAUGACUCCACUGUUGCAUAUUGAACUUCAACCUCCAGUGCCUUUGCAGUAUUUAGAGUACUGGGAUGUAGGAGAACCAUUCAGCAUGUGAAAAUUUCAAUUUGAUCUAAUUUAGAUAUAACCAAUGGCAGGUUCAGACAUUUCAUUUAUUAUAAUAAAUAUUUAUCCCAUAAAAUGUUUUAUAUCUGGGCCAUUGGAUAAAGGUAAUUGCCAUGCAAGCCUAGGAACCUGAGUUUAAUCCUUGGAGUUCACAA